rnacentral:rRNA from 1 species
CCUGUAUUAAUCCAGAAGCGACGGGCAAUUUGUGCAUACAAAAUUAAAAUUUCACUCCUAAUUUUAUUUUUAUAAGAAUUAAUAUUAGGUCCUAUUUAUUCCUUUUGAAUAUUCGUUUAAAUUUUAUUAAUUUAAUGUGUUUCGCUUGCAACCAAAAUUAUAUCUUUUGUCUUGAUUUGUAAUAUUAGCUAAAAAUUUUUUGAAAGUUUCUUUCAAAACUUUCUAUGUACAAUGAUAUAAAAAGUUCUAAAUAAGGUACACUUAAUCGUGGAUUGUCUAUUAAAAAGUAAAACCCCCUAAGAAAUUUUAUACCGCCAUAUCAUUUAGAUUUUUCCUGAAUAGAUACUACCCUAAAUAUUUUAAAA